ensembl:lncRNA
GUUGGAUUCAUGUUAAUGUGUAUUUAAAGACAAUAAAUACAAUUCUGAUGAUCAAGACAUCCUCUUCUCCAGAAGGCCCCACAGUCACUAGAGGUGGAGCAGGUGGAGGAGGCCAGGCUGUGUGUCUGACAGGUCAUUUGUCACAGACCUAAAUCACCUGAGGCUCUCAGGUCCAAGGCCACCAGGACAGAAUGCUGAGGGACCAGUUCAACAGAAUCCAGGUUUACCUCCGUAACCCCACGUCUCUGCUCUGAUGUCAAGGUUACAUCGGUCUUCUGGGUGUGAAGAGAAGCAGCAGUAUAAAGGACGGAGACGGAGACGCAGCAGGCACAUCUUCCUGAGAGACUUCACUGAUCUCCAUCUUCAGAGCUCCGUCUCCCUGCUGCUCCACCCGACCUCCACAAGAGUCUCUCCACCUGUUCCUGCCUCUUCUCCACCAUGAAGACAGGUGCUCUGCUCCUCCUGCUGGCAGUUGCUGACUGCGAAGGUCGGGACCCUGACUGUGGAUUCAUGGACUAUUGGAGACAGAUUAUUGAUCUUUGAUGUGAGCUCCUGCAGGCACUCAGGUGUCCCUUUACGAUACGGUGAGAAGAUAUCGGACCCAGAGAACUGUUCCACUUUACUCUGUAGUACGUCUGCAGUCCUCGGUCCCGUCAGUUCAUGUGAACCCGGAGACGUUUGCCUCGGCAACAACACAAAAAAAGAUCUAUUUGACAGCCGGACACAGCUGGGAGGAACCGGAGCACCGUCCAACAUCUGGAGGAGAGCCUGAAACCAGGAGAGAGGAGGUUGUCAGAGCAGCACACUAACAUCAGGAGUGACACGCACAAAGACACACACACACGAGCAGAGAGAGAGAGUGCAGAGGGCGAGUUGGGCGAGCUAGCGCUCCUCUCUCUCUCAAAGCUGCGUGGUCAGUUACGGAUUCCUGAGGGACGCCAUCGACACACGCGUGUGUGUGUGUGUGUGAGAAAUUAAUCAUUUUGCAAUUUUAACAUGAAAAAGAAGUGACAAAAAAUGUCAUGUUGCCCCGAACAACAUGAAAUCUCUGCUUCAAAAAAACCAACUGUUUCCUUCCAUAGAAUUAGAUGAUGAAUAAACAGGUUUACUGUCCUUUCUAUGUGUUGUACACUUUUUCUGUAUAGAUUUUUAAGUAUUAUGUAUUUUCUACUACGUAUCCUCAGCUUUUUCUUUCUUUUAAUCCAACGCAAUGUGACACUUUAUAAAAAACAUGAAAUGAUUAAUUGAUAAAAUAAGAAAAAAAAAAGAAAGAUAUUUUGACUUGUUGAUGGAGCUGGAACCUGACUCAUAAUGUGAUAUAUAUAUAUAUAUAUAUAUAUAUAUUAUAUGUACACGUGCGUUUUUAUAUAUAUAUACCCUCUUUUACACCGUUAUUUGGUACAUUUGGGACUUUUCAAAUACAUUUAAAGAUUAUUCAUCAAAUCAAUUAUACAAAUUCUGAAUAGAUUUAUUUAAUAAUAUUUAUUGCUUUCCUUGCCUGGUGCAAAACUUUCUUUAUUUUCUUAAAUAAUUAAAACCUCAUAUCAGCUUUUUAACAUAAAAUAAUUAACAAUUACAUUUUACUAUUUGAACUAAAAUCCAUCUUUAGCUCUAGUCUUUGCUCUUCUAUCCGCCCAUCAUUCGGUAUUGAUUACUGAUUGCUGCUGAUCCACUUGAAGCUAAACGGACCGUAUUCAGUAACUGGAGCACGUGACUGAAGGCGGAGAUCCUCUCCCUUUGUGAUCGGCUCUGUAGGUUUGAGCUUGGAUUCAUUUACAGUCACUCUCUCACGCUGUUGUUCGCCCACGUUUUAAUUGUGUGUCGCAGCUGCAGCUUGUGCGUUUUGCAUUUGUAAUAAAACUACUUUUCC